rnacentral:rRNA from 1 species
AUUGAACGCUGGCGGAAUGCUUUACACAUGCAAGUCGAACGGCAGCACGGACUUCGGUCUGGUGGCGAGUGGCGAACGGGUGAGUAAUGUAUCGGAACGUGCCCAGUCGUGGGGGAUAACGUAGUGAAAAUUACGCUAAUACCGCAUACGAUCUAUGGAUGAAAGCGGGGGAUCGCAAGACCUCGCGCGAUUGGAGCGGCCGAUAUCAGAUUAGGUAGUUGGUGGGGUAAAGGCCCACCAAGCCAACGAUCUGUAGCUGGUCUGAGAGGACGACCAGCCACACUGGAACUGAGACACGGUCCAGACUCCUACGGGAGGCAGCAGUGGGGAAUUUUGGACAAUGGGCGAAAGCCUGACCCAGCCAUUCCGCGUGCAGGAUGAAGGCCCUCGGGUUGUAAACUGCUUUUGUACAGAACGAAAAGGUUUCUACUAAUACUAGGAGCUCAUGACGGUACUGUAAGAAUAAGCACCGGUUAACUACGUGCCAGCAGCCGCCGUAA